rnacentral:tRNA from 1 species
GCGGGCGUAGUAUAGUGGCAGUACGGGACCCUUCCAAGGUCCAGGUACGGGUCCGAUUCCCGUCGCCCGCU